rnacentral:rRNA from 1 species
UGAAUUGACGGGGAGCACCACAACGGUGGAGCUUGCGGUUUAAUUGGAUUCAACGCCGGAAUCUUACCGGGACCGACAGCAAUAUGAAGGCCAGGCUGAAGACUUUGCCGGAUUAGCUGAGAGGUGGUGCAUGGCCGUCGUCAGUUCGUACUGUGAAGCAUCCUGUUAAGUCAGGCAACGAGCGAGACCCACGCCCACAGUUGCCAGCGUACUCUCUGGAGUGACGGGUACACUGUGGGGACCGCCGCUGCUAAAGCGGAGGAAGGAAUGGGCAACGGUAGGCCAGUAUGCCCCGAAUAUCCCGGGCUACACGCGAGCUACAAUGGUUGGUACAAUGGGUAUCUACCCCGAAAGGGGACGGGAAUCUCCUAAAACCAAUCUUAGUUCGGAUUGAGGGCUGCAACUCGCCCUCAUGAAGCUGGAAUCCGUAGUAAUCGCGUUUCAACAGAACGCGGUGAAUACGUCCCUGCUCCUU